UGGCUAUGAUGAGUCAUAGAGAUAGUCAUGCACCACUCUGAUGUUUCCGUGCUGAUAAUUUUCUCAUACCCAUUAUUUUUCUGAGCCA
rfam:Medicago truncatula strain A17 chromosome 6, whole genome shotgun sequence.